UUUCCGUAGGUGAACCUGCGGAAGGAUCAUUAUUGUAUAACCGAGGUGCGAGGGCUGUCGCUGACCCGAAAGGUCGUGCACGCCCGAGUGCCCUCACACACAUCCAUCUCACCCCUAUGUGCACCACCGCGUGGGUCCCCCUUUGGCUUGUUCGGAGGGGGGCUUACGUUUUCACACAAACUUUGUAUGCAGUGUAGAAUGUAUUUUUUGUUUUUGCGAUCACGCAAUCAAUACAACUUUCAACAACAGAUCUCUUGGCUCUCGCAUCGAUGAAGACGCAGC
rnacentral:misc_RNA from 1 species